UGCUUUGAUGACCACGACGCCCACGUGGCCCUCGGGACCAUGACAGACACCAGGAGACCCCCGGGACCACGAGUCCCCUCAUGACCACGACAGACACGAGGAGCCCCCCCGCCCCAGACCACGAGUCCCCUCCCGACCACGACAGACACCAGGACCCCUCCCCUGGGACCACGAGUCCCCUCCCGACCACGACAGACUCCAGGACCACCUCCCCCGGGACCACGAGUCCCCUCCCGACCACGACAGACACCAGGACCCCUCCCCUGGGACCACGAGUCCCCUCCCGACCACGACAGACACCAGGAGCCCCCCCCGCCCCAGACCACGAGUUCCCUCAGGACCACGAGAGACACCAGGAGCCCCCCCGGGACCACGAGUCCCCUCCUGGCCACGACAGACACUCAGGAGCCCCCCUGGGACCACGAUGGACACUCAGGAUCCCCCAGAGCCGUGACUGACACCAGGAGCCCCCCCAGCAUGUGAGGGAGGAGCAAGGAGCAGGCGGAGGGAACGGGAAGCAGGACGGCCCCCACGAGCUGGGGGAGUGCAGAGAUCGAUGAGGACCCCGUGGGAGGGCUUAUCGGGCCAGGUCAGCGCCGUCCCUGCAGCUCAGCCCAAGAGCAGCAUGUGUGUGUGUGUAUGGCGGGGGGGGG
rnacentral:lncRNA from 1 species